CACGUAGGGUGCGAGCGUUGUCCGGAAUUAUUGGGCGUAAAGAGCGUGUAGGCGGCCCGAUUAGUCCGCUGUGAAAGUCCAGGGCUCAACCCUGGAAUGCCGGUGGAUACUGUCGGGCUAGAGUCCGGAAGGGGCGAGUGGAAUUCCUGGUGUAGCGGUGAAAUGCGUAGAUAUCAGGAGGAACACCGGUGGCGAAGGCGGCUUUCUGGACAGUAACUGACGCUGAGGCGCGAAAGCUAGGGGAGCAAACAGG
rnacentral:rRNA from 1 species